CAAAACAAUGCCCUUGCCUCCACUACAAAAACUUUUUAGCCAGAGAGAUGCUGCCUUCCCCAUCCCACCUACUCUGGUAAUUUAAACAAAGCUUAUGCCUUCUAUUCUAGUUGUAAUCCCUAAUAAUAACUUAACUGAAAAGUAUUCGCCUUUUAUAACAAUCUUUCUUGCAUUGCAUCUCUAAGGGUCUUGUCGAGACCUAAAUUCACAGCUCAGAACCCUCAGCUGACAACCGAGUACUAGCCUAUGUCUAACCACUGUUUUCAUUCACCAGUCACCAGGAAAAAAAGAGAAAGGUGACCCACUCCAACUUUACUCUUCCAAAUUUGAGAAAUGUCCUUGAUCUGCAUUUGCAUCAGUCUUGAUAACUUCUAAAACAGUUGCAUUGCAAAAGAAGCACCUCUCACCGUUCAGAAGGUGUCUUGAAAUGCAGCCGAAGCAAGAAACGUGCGAACAAGGGACAAAUUGAGCAUUUGCUUGACUCGUAUAACAGAUGCAGCAGAUACUGUCAUCAUAAUCUGUUUCACCCCCAUAGGCUAUUCUCUCAACUUCCACUACCUCUGAACGACAGAUAAGCAGACCUGAAAAUAUCUCCAGUUGCCUGAUUUUUUCCAGAUAAUCAUCUCCUCUGAAUAAACUAGCCCAAUUGUACUCCAAAAGAUACUGAAACCCAGAGACUACAGUAUCAGGGCAGUCCAUGCUGGCAAAAAUCCCAACCAUGUCAUUAUCUCUAGUAUCCGACUCCCCGCUAGCCUCCAGCAAAUUAAGAAUGAUUCCAGCAAGGGGUGCCAAAAUCAUGCCUCUGUUUGGUUUCUCUGGGGGCUGACCUGGACGUCUUACGAAAAGGUCAAAAAGUUCUUGAUCAGCUGCAGAAAUUAAGUGGUUUAGUAUAAAGACGAUCACUUCAGUCAGCCUUCGCAAAUUUGUAUCUGCCCCAGAGAUAAACGCUUGAGGUAUCUCAUGGGUACAAAAUUCUAAAAUCCUUGCAAGAUUGCAG
rnacentral:misc_RNA from 1 species